rnacentral:rRNA from 1 species
AAUGAACGCUGGCGGCAUGCCUAACACAUGCAAGUCGAACGAGAACGGGCGGUCUGGUGCCGCCGGGGGGCGUACGGGGGCGGAAGACGCCCGUAUGUUCCCGAUCACUGGCCGAAAGGGGUCCUAAGCCCGGCUAAUAUCUCCUACCAAAUAAUUUAUCGACCCGGGAAGUGCAAGCGUUGGAUUAGGUAGUUGGUACGGUGACAGAUUACCAAGGUGAGGAUGAGUAGGUGUUCUAAGAGGAUGAUCAGCCACACUGGAACUGAGACACGGCCCAGACUCCUGCGGGAGGAAGCAGUAGGGAAUCUUGCGCAAGGGGCGAGAGCCUGAUACAGCAAAGCCGCGUGAAGGAUGAAGGACUUCGGCUGGUAAAGUGCUGUUGUACGGAAGGAAGAAAAUUGUUUUUAUCCAGGAGGGUCAUGACGGUACCGGAAGAAUAAGCCCCGGCUAACUACGUG